GACGAACGCUGGCGGCGUGCUUAACACAUGCAAGUCGAACGGAAAGGCCCUGCUUUUGUGGGGUGCUCGAGUGGCGAACGGGUGAGUAACACGUGAGUAACCUGCCCUUGACUUUGGGAUAACUUCAGGAAACUGGGGCUAAUACCGGAUAGGAGCUCCUGCUGCAUGGUGGGGGUUGGAAAGUUUCGGCGGUUGGGGAUGGACUCGCGGCUUAUCAGCUUGUUGGUGGGGUAGUGGCUUACCAAGGCUUUGACGGGUAGCCGGCCUGAGAGGGUGACCGGCCACAAGGGUACUGAGAUACGGCGCAGACUCCUACGGGAGGCAGCAGUGGGGAAUAUUGCACAAUGGGCGGAAGCGUGAUGAAGCAACGCCGCGGGCGGGAUGACGGCCUUCGGGUUGUAAACCGCUUUCGCCUGUGACGAAGCGUGAGUGACGGUAAUGGGUAAAGAAGCACCGGCUAACUACGUG
rnacentral:rRNA from 1 species